CGGGAUGUAAUUCAGCGGCCAGAAGCCAUGCUUUGGGAGCAUGGAGUCGUUGGUUCAAAUCCAACCAUCCCGAC
rnacentral:tRNA from 1 species